UACGGAGGGUGCAAGCGUUGUCCGGAUUUAUUGGGUUUAAAGGGUGCGUAGGCGGCCAUAUAAGUCAGUGGUGAAACCCUUGGGCUUAACCCAAGGAGUGCCAUUGAUACUGUAUGGCUUGGGUUAUCUCUGGGCGGGCGGAAUGGAUGGUGUAGCGGUGAAAUGCAUAGAUAUCGGGAGGAACACCUGUGGCGAAGGCGGCUUUCUGGGCCCUACCUGACGCUGAGACGCGAAAGCGUGGGGAGCGAACCGG
rnacentral:rRNA from 1 species